GUUUACAUAACUUGAACAAGAAAUAAAAAUCAGAUUAGUGAUUAGUGAGCCACUUAAAACUAAGUGGAAAUACAAACUGAAAACCCCCUUUGAGUCCCAAAGGGAGGUGCGGUAUACAUAAGUUUUGUUAGUCUUCGGGUAGGCCAAAUCAACAUUAUGAGAAGGUCUGCAAGCUAAUGGUCUAUGCCACUUUGGUGCCAAAGCAACACCAAUCACUAUGGAGGUAGAUUCGAUGUAAGCAGAUCAUUCCAAAGCACCACCCAAUUAGCCUUCUUUCUCUUCCCAAGCACAAGAAACUAUCUAGGGCAAUUAGGGAAGAAUUAAUGAAAGAGAGGACAAUGCCCUCGCUAAAAUGUAUAAAACCCAUAUGAAAACUAAAGGAACAAAAGGAAGAAAGAUAAAGGAAAAUGAAAAAGAAGUAGAAGAUGAAAGAUGUCAUGCAAAAAGAAGAAAAAUAAGGUGAAAAGAAAGGAGUAAAAAGUAGGAGAGGGAGGGAGAGAGGGGGCUG
rnacentral:misc_RNA from 1 species